AUAAACGCUAGCGGCAGGCCUAACACAUGCAAGUCGAGGGGCAGCGGAAGAAGUAGCUUGCUACUUCUGCCGGCGACCGGCGCACGGGUGCGUAACGCGUAUGCAACCUACCUUUAACAGGGGGAUAAUCCGAAGAAAUUUGGUCUAAUACCCCAUAAUAUUUCAGAAGGCAUCUUUUGAGGUUGAAAACUCCGGUGGUUAAAGAUGGGCAUGCGUUGUAUUAGCUAGAUGGUGAGGUAACGGCUCACCAUUGCGAUGAUACAUAGGGGGACUGAGAGGUUUUCCCCCCACACUGGUACUGAGACACGGACCAGACUCCUACGGGAGGCAGCAGUGAGGAAUAUUGGUCAAUGGACGCAAGUCUGAACCAGCCAUGCCGCGUGCAGGAUGAAGGUGCUAUGCAUUGUAAACUGCUUUUGUACGAGGGUAAAUUCAGAUACGUGUAUCUGUUUGAAAGUAUCGUACGAAUAAGGAUCGGCUAACUCCGUGCCAGCAGCCGCGGUAAUACGGAGGAUCCGAGCGUUAUCCGGAUUUAUUGGGUUUAAAGGGUGCGUAGGCGGUUUGAUAAGUUAGAGGUGAAAGCUCGAUGCUCAACAUCGAAAUUGCCUCUGAUACUGUCAGACUAGAGUGUAGUUGCGGAAGGCGGAAUGUGUGGUGUAGCGGUGAAAUGCUUAGAUAUCACACAGAACACCGAUUGCGAAGGCAGCUUUCCAAGCUAUUACUGACGCUGAGGCACGAAAGCGUGGGUAGCGAACAGGAUUAGAUACCCUGGUAGUCCACGCCGUAAACGAUGAUAACUCGUUGCCGGCGAUAUAGUGUCGGUGACUAAGCGAAAGCGAUAAGUUAUCCACCUGGGGAGUACGUUCGCAAGAAUGAAACUCAAAGGAAUUGACGGGGGCCCGCACAAGCAGUGGAGUAUGUGGUUUAAUUCGAAGCAACGCGAAGAACCUUACCAGGGCUUGACAUAUAGAUGAAUAUAUAAGAGAUUAUAUAGCUCUUCGGAGCAUCUAUACAGGUGGUGCAUGGUUGUCGUCAGCUCGUGCCGUGAGGUGUCGGGUUAAGUCCCAUAACGAGCGCAACCCCUACUGUUAGUUGCCAGCAUGUCAAGAUGGGCACUCUAGCAGGACUGCCGGUGUAAGCCGAGAGGAAGGUGGGGAUGACGUCAAAUCAGCACGGCCCUUACGUCCGGGGCGACACACGUGUUACAAUGGUCGGUACAGAGGGUAGCUACCUGGUGACAGGAUGCCAAUCUCGAAAGCCGAUCUCAGUUCGGAUUGGAGGCUGAAACUCGCCUCCAUGAAGUUGGAUUCGCUAGUAAUCGCGCAUCAGCCAUGGCGCGGUGAAUACGUUCCCGGGCCUUGUACACACCGCCCGUCAAGCCAUGGGAGUUGGGGGUGCCUGAAGUACGUGACCGCAAGGAGCGUCCUAGGGCAAAACCGAUGACUGGGGCU
rnacentral:rRNA from 1 species